rnacentral:rRNA from 1 species
GAAUUUAGCAGAGAUGCUUUAGUGGCCUUCGGGAACUCUGAGACAGGUGCUGCAUGGCUGUCGUCAGCUCGUGUUGUGAAAUGUUGGGUUAAGUCCCGCAACGAGCGCAACCCUUAUCCUUUGUUGCCAGCACGUAAUGGUGGGAACUCAAAGGAGACUGCCGGUGAUAAACCGGAGGAAGGUGGGGAUGACGUCAAGUCAUCAUGGCCCUUACGAGUAGGGCUACACACGUGCUACAAUGGCGCAUACAAAGAGAAGCGACCUCGCGAGAGCAAGCGGACCUCAUAAAGUGCGUCGUAGUCCGGAUUGGAGUCUGCAACUCGACUCCAUGAAGUCGGAAUCGCUAGUAAUCGUAAAUCAGAAUGUUACGGUGAAUACGUUCCCGGGCCUUGUACACACCGCCCGUCACACCAUGGGAGUGGGUUGCAAAAGAAGUAGAUAGCUUAACCUUCGGGAGGGCGUUUACCACUUUGUGAUUCAUGACUGGGGUGAAGUCGUAACAAGGUAGGCGUAGUGCU